rnacentral:lncRNA from 1 species
GGAUUUUUUUAACCUUUUUGAAAAUAUUUUCAAAUUAACACCGUUACAUUUUUAUUUUUGAAUCUAACUCGUUUGGCCAUGCCUAAAUCCUUGGCGCAGCUAAAACACGCUGCCGCACCACAUACAUCAGCGUGGCACAAGACAUAUUUUAGUGGUUUUUCUGGCUUAAAAAACAAAAGCUGUUUUUGUGUGUGGUCAUUUGAUAAGGUUUUCAAUUAAACCUAUGGAGAAGCCACAACAAAAAUCCUGUGAAAGAUAAGUUGUCAUGCUUUAUUUCUCGUCCUUUCACUCCUUUUGACUAAUGAUUGCUGCUGUUAUGAAUUUCUGCCAUACAAAUCUGAAUGACAGUUACACAAGCUUGUUUUGUAAUAAAUCAUCAAUUCCUUGACCUAAAAAAAGUUGUCCACCAAUGAAUGGCUUCCCUAUUUAAUUUAGGAAGACUUAUUCUGUUUUUUUAACAUGCACUCCGUACUUAGAGACUGAUUGUGUAUUCAAGGUAAAGAUAUUUGGUACUUCAAAGUGAGAUAUAUGCCUCUGUCAUCUGCUAGUGAAAUUGUAAAUACCAUCCUAUAGAAGCUACCUUGAAUAGCAAAUAUCCUUUUACAAGAAAAUACUUGCAUAUUGCCACUCCAUAAGUCUAAUAAUCCUGCUGCAAAAUUAACCCUGUUCAUUAGUAGUUUUUUCUUGUGUAUUUGGUCCUAAUUUUGAUCUACUGACCAAACAUAUGUAUGAUUAUAUAAUUAAAAGUAACAAGCACUACUACAUAAGCAAUUUUUAGAGAUGUUUCCCUUUUAGUCUAGAGGCUCAUAUAAAAAAUGCCUCUAAAAUUGUUUUAUAAGUUGACCUGUCUCUAAAAUCAAAUUUUUAUAGGUGUCUAGGAAAUCCAACUGCCUCUAGAAUAUCCACUAUUUGUAGAAGUGGCUGGAAAGUCCAACCAUUACUAAAAAGGUCAUUUCUAGCAGCGCCUAAAUAUUCUACCUGUCUCUAUAAUGAAUUGAGAGGUGGUUGAUAAUUUGACCUAUCUCUAAAAAUAGGUUUAGCAUAGUAAAAUUCAUAAUCUUUUCAAAUCGAGUCAAAUGAAAACAAUCUAUAUAUAAAAUUUUGUAGAACUUUGUAGCAGACUACUUUUUUAUUUGAAAUCAUUUGAGGCCCAAAAGUUUUAAUUUAAGUUUUUCAAUUUUGAAAUUCAUUUUUUAGAAAGUUUUGAAAUGACUUGGGAUGGAGAAAUGAUCUAAACCAAUGUUGUAGUUCUUGAGGAGAUCUAAAACAUUUCAGUUCAAAACUUUUUAUGUGGUUUUGUUUAAGGUCUCAAAUAUCAUUACUAGACCAAGAAUUUUCCAAGAUAAGCAUAAGGUGUUAAUAGAGGUGGUCUGGGCACCCGUUUCUCUGAAAGUGCCUGUGUUAAUGGACUUUUAUUGAGGUGGAUGCAAUUGCCCACCUCUAAGAACAAAAAAAAAAAAUCUUGCCAAACCGUUCAGCUCGCUACCAGUUUAGGCCAGCAACAGCCCUUGCUAAAUCACACCGCCACACGAAGGCCGACCAUGCUGUCCUCAGGCCCGGUUUAGUCCCCAAAAAUUUUCUUUUUAUCCCAUCCUAUCAAAUCUUUAUACAUAUGUAUGGAGCAUUAAAUAGAGAUAAAAAAUAACUAAUUACAUAGUUUGUAUGUAUUUUGCUUGAUAAAUUUUUAAAGUCUAAUUAGUUUAUGAUUAAACACUAAUUCCCAAAUAAACUAAAAUGCUACAGUAGCCAAAUCUAAAAAAUUUCACGAACUAAAUAAGGUCUCACUCUCAAAGCCCCUCUGUACAGUGGAUCGGUAGCAAGGAACCAUAUGGAGCCUAGCGCGUGACCACGAAGCCCACAAAGUACUAGUCCCCUGUUUGCUUGACCUUAGCAAAUCAACGAACAAAUGGUUUUUCAUAUAAGCGAACAGUUGUCUAAGUUGGACGAUUGGAGCUGAGCAUGAGGUUCGUGAUAGAUAUAUUUUCGCUCACGCUGGCUCCUCUGGCCACCCAGUUGCUGAUGUGGUAUAGAGGAGGUAGGGUGAGGGUGAGCCGAAGUAGAGCAUGGAGGCAAGACAGGGGUGCUCACCUGGUUAGAUCUGCAUUGUUGUCAUCCGGCGUCCAACUCUUCGUGGUGGCGCGGCUAACUGGUUCCACGUGUGUGCGUCGGCGUGUCGCGAAAUUGCUAGAGCCAUUAGAGUGUGGCGCGUCUCCUCGCCUCCUUCUCUAACCGAGGAGGGCCGUAGGGAAAGGAAAAUUAGGAAAGAAAAAGGUCGACGUUGUCUUCUUAGGUUGUCUGAUCACUGUCUCUUUUCUCAUUAGUUUGCUGAUGUCUAACGGACUAUAAGAACUGGGGGUUUGUAUAUCAAGGUUUGGGCCCCGUUCUUAUCUAGGCCCUAACCCUAGGGCCAGCACUACGGUAAAUGAGGUAUUUUCCGAGGUGUUUUAAUGACCGCUUCGUUAAAUCGAAUAAUAAGAAAUAAAGAAAAUGAAAAACGCUAGGCAUGGCAGGUGGAAGAGCGGCCUCUAAAAAUCCAUUCUAAUCGUUUCUGGAAAAAAAACUUUUCUGUGAUUGCAAAGUCUCCUUACCAUUUUACAAACAAUAAACAUGGAGCACUUCAUCAUAAACCAAGAAUCGCCUCUAGAAAAAACAUUCUGUUGUUGCGAAGUCUCCUUACCAUUUUACAAACAAUAAACAUGGAGUAUACUUCAUCAUAAACCAAGAAGAUCCAAACAUACACAAAAUAACUUCUAAGUACAUAUCAUCAACUUAACUAGGGACGUGACAUUACAUACAUAUUAUUUCAAUACAAAACAAAACCGAGCUGACGGUGUAUAUGAAUCGACAUAUAUCUUACUGGCUACUAGCAACUAGUAGCACCCUGGAUUGUGGUAAAUACGAUUACAAUGACUAGUGUAGGAUUCACCCCGUGCGGCACAGCUGCCCCUUGGUGGGCACGCAGGCCUAUUUCGGAUGCUCGUGUAGUCGAUGUAGCCUCCGGCGCCCGCUGCCGGUGUUGCGACGACGAUAGCCGCAAUAAGGACGGCAAAGAGAAGAAUCGCCGGCACCGACGACGGCUUCGCCUCCAUAGGCUGCUUCCGGAUCACUUUGUGGGGAUUUAUUUCCGGAAUCAAGGGCGAGCGAGGCACGGUUCGCCGGUUCCUCUGCUUAGCUGAAGGUUGGAAUGAGAGGACGCAUGCUUUAAUAUGCACUGUGCGCCGUGGUGUUUCUGGCAAUGCCAGCCAUUUUCCUUUUGUUUCAUAGCAACCCGUGACUCCGGUACGUAUUGUCUGCUCUAUAUGUCUGCCCCUACCUGUCGGACACUGGUAUCUUCCGCGCCUCCCAUGGCAGCUUUUACCUACUGGAGCGUGUGACCUACCAUGCAACUAUGCAAGUCCAUGUGAGCAGAUGCUCAAGAAAUAAUUAUAUCGUUACGUUAUACGGAGUACAUAGUAGCGCAAAAUGUUUACCCCUUCGUACUUAUAUAUCUCCUAUAUCUCUUUUUUCUAGACAAGGUAGGAAAUUUAUAUUAAUUAAGAUUGGUAACGUCUACAUCCAAGAAUAUAGGAGGAGAACCAAGCCAAACAUGGCAGCUAGGACCAAGAGUACAAGCAUGCUUAGCAAGGUCUACCCUCAUGUGCAAAUAGCACAUAAUCAAAUGAUUUUGACCUCGUAUUUAUAUCCUAAACACUACGGGAGAAUUGAAAUUCCCCGAGUGUCGCAGGCUUCCCCGAGUGCCAAAAAUCGAGCACUCGGGGAAGCCAGUCUUCCCCGAGUGUUGCACUCGGGAAAGAGAGGCUUCCCCGAGUGUCGUAGCUUACCUGGCACUCGGGGAAGAACGACACUAAGAAAAGAUCCUCUUCCCCGAGCGCAACACUCGGGGAAGAGCCGCACUCGGGGGAGAAAAGUGUUACUUGACGGCCCAAACUAACAGCGUCGUCGCAGCUUAAAAUGAAAAAAGUUCUUCCUCGAGUGCCAAAAAAAACUCUCGGGGAAGACGCCCUUUUCCGAGUGCUAUUGCAUGACACUCGGGGAAAAUGCUGGCUUCCCCGAGCGCUGCGGGCCUGGCACUCGGGGAAGAAUUUUUCUUUUUUUAGUUUUUUUGCUCCAAUUUUUUUCUGAGGCUUUUCCACAUUAUUUCAAACUUCAUGUUCAAAUUUGGGGAUAUUUAAAUUUUUUUAAGUAUAUUUCAUUUGUUUUUUUCGUUUCAUUGAUUUUUUUUUUGCAAACUUCAAAUUUGAACUACAGGUGCAUUAAAUAAUGAAAUUUAUUUAUUCAAAAAAUGAUAUUCAAGAUAUUUAGUGUAUUUUAAGAUCAUAUCCACAAGCUCAAUGAAAUGUGAAACAUCUUAUUGCCCUAACAUUAGAAACAACUUGCGGAAAAAAUGUUUUUAAAUUAUAUAAAAUCCGUAAAAAGUCGAAAAAUCAAGAAACUUGUCUGAGCGUCAUUUUAUCGCAUGUAGAGGCUAUGAUAAAAAAUUGAGAAAGUUUGGAACAAGUUAUAAUAUCGGAUACCCUAAAAUCCACACAUCUCCGU